rnacentral:rRNA from 1 species
AGUGAACGCUGGCGGUAGGCUUAACACAUGCAAGUCGAACGGCAGCACAGUAAGAGCUUGCUCUUACGGGUGGCGAGUGGCGGACGGGUGAGGAAUACAUCGGAAUCUACUUUUUCGUGGGGGAUAACGUAGGGAAACUUACGCUAAUACCGCAUACGACCUACGGGUGAAAGCAGGGGAUCUUCGGACCUUGCGCGAUUGAAUGAGCCGAUGUCGUAUUAGCUAGUUGGCGGGGUCAAGGCCCACCAAGGCGACGCUCCGUAGCUGGUCAGAGUGGAUGCUCCGCCCCACGGGAUGUUGGCCACGGUCUAGACGCCUGCGGGAGGCAGCAGUGGGGAAUAUUGGACAAUGGGCGGAAGCCUGAUCCAGCCCUACCGAGUGGGUGAAGAAGGCCUUCGGGUUGUAAAGCCCUUUUGUUGGGAAAGAAAAGCAGCAGGUUAAUACCCCGCUGUUCUGACGGUACCCAAAGAAUAAGCACCGGCUAACUUCGUG